GCAUAUCCAAUAAGCGGAGGAAAAGAAACCAACAGGGAUUGCCCCAGUAACGGCGAGUGAAGCGGCAACAGCUCAAAUUUGAAAUCUGGCCUCGGCCCGAGUUGUAAUUUGCAGAGGAAGCUUCUGGUGCGGCGCCGUCCGAGUCUCCUGGAACGGAGCGCCAUAGAGGGUGAGAGCCCCGUAUGGACGGAUGCCAAACCUGUGUGAAGCUCCUUCGACGAGUCGAGUAGUUUGGGAAUGCUGCUCUAAAUGGGAGGUAAAUUCCUUCUAAAGCUAAAUAUUGGCCAGAGACCGAUAGCGCACAAGUAGAGUGAUCGAAAGAUGAAAAGCACUUUGAAAAGAGGGUUAAACAGCACGUGAAAUUGUUGAAAGGGAAGCGCUUGUGACCAGACUUGAGCGCGGCGGAUCAUCCGGUGUUCUCACCGGUGCACUCCGCCGUGUCCAGGCCAGCAUCGGUUUCCGCGGGGGGACAAAGGUCCCGGGAACGUAGCUCCUCCGGGAGUGUUAUAGCCCGGGGCGCAAUGCCCCCGCGGGGACCGAGGACCGCGCAUCUGCAAGGAUGCUGGCGUAAUGGUCAUCAGCGACCCGUCUUGAA
rnacentral:rRNA from 1 species